UUUUCCUUGUGGGCGUCGGGGGAAGUGUUUUGCUUCGUGUAUUCAUUCUAGCGCCAGGGGUACCACCCUCUUCAAGAUGUGGCUCCGGAGGCAGCUCAAGUGGCGCAUGGCUCUUGAGUCCAGUUUGCACUGCAGACCCUGGGAAAGGUACAACAGGAGGACCACAUGCUGUCACUGUCGAUUUUCACUGGAGAGUCUGGACGCUCCAAGGUGGAUACCUGCCCUGUCCUGAUGGCCUGAGGAGAGGGACCUGGAAAGCAGUGUCUCUGAGGCAUGCUGCUCUGAAGACAACUCCACGUGACCACCUUUAAAGCACUCCCAACAGGCAGAUGGCGAGACUCAGCUCAAAGUCAUACCCUCGUAAGAGACAAACAGUUAUCCUAGGAUCUAAAACCAAAGCUUGGAAUCUACUCAAAAUGUCACAUGCUAUUCUCUCUUCUUCUGAAGACGUCAUCCAGUUGGGCCUGUCAAUCACCUGGCCAGGAACCCACCUGCUCCUCCCCACACUACCUACCUGCUCCUCUCCACACUACCUGCUCCUCCCCACACCAGGAAAGCUGAUUGACCUGAAGCCAUGCUAGGAGGAUGGGCAGAAUAACUAUCCCUUUAAUGAGUGUACUUUCUCUAGUCUUAAUUCAGGAAAUGUGACUCUU